UCCUCAGUAGCGCAGUAGGUAGCGCGUCAGUCUCAUAAUCUGAAGGUCUUGAGUUCGAUCCUCACCUGGGGCA
rnacentral:tRNA from 1 species